rnacentral:rRNA from 1 species
GUGCCAGCAGCCGCGGUAAUACGUAGGUGGCAAGCGUUGUCCGGAAUUAUUGGGCGUAAAGGGCGCGUAGGCGGUUCUUUAAGUCAGAUGUGAAAACCCGAGGCUCAACUUCGGGCGUGCAUUUGAAACUGGGGGACUAGAGUGCAGGAGAGGUAAGUGGAAUUCCUAGUGUAGCGGUGAAAUGCGGUGAUAUUAAGAGGAACACCAGUGGCGAAGGAGACUUACGGGACUUGAACUGACGCUGAGGCGCGAAAGCGUG